AAGGCUUUCUGGCUUCCCUCGGCUGUGCGGGUAAUCUGCGGAGCGAGGGGUUCUUUGGAUCCACCUCCUCUCUGCCUCAGCCUUUCAGAUUAUUCUGACCAGGAUGUUCAGAGAAACAACAGCCUUGGCCUGUCAUGCUUCAAAAGGACAAAAUAGGCUCAACUUUGUGAAAGUUGAAGAAGAAAAUGGUGUUUGGAAGCAGGACUUAAGUCUUCAGGGAAACCUCCAGAGCCAGGAGGUUUUCCGUCAGCAGUUUAGACAGUUUGGUUACUCUGAUUUCACUGGGCCCCGGGAGGCUCUGAACCGACUGCAGAAGCUUUGCCAGCAGUGGCUGAGGCCAGAGGAGCACUCUAAGGAGCAGAUCCUAGAAUUGCUGGUGCUAGAGCAGUUCAUGACCAUCUUGCCUAUGGAGCUGAAGGCCUGGGUGCAAGAACACAGGCCCAGAAGUGGAGAGGAGGCUGUGACUCUGCUGGAGGAGCUAGAGAGAGAAUUUGAUGAACCCAAGCACCAGGACACAGCUCAUGGUCAAGAAAUGAUCUGCAAAGAAACGACACUCAUGGGAACAUCAGAGUCUCUAAGUAGUCCACUGCAGUCCUUGGAGAGCCAUUGCAAGAGUGAACCCCAGGAUCCCCAGAUUUUCCAUGAGAGAGAUGAGGCAACCCUACCAUUUAGGGUUGAUGAUGAAGAUAGCAAGAUGGUGACUGGGAAAAUAUUGACAGCAAAGCAAGAAAUUAUUGAAUGUGUUGCAUCAGUGGCCAUGGCAUCUCCAGGAAGACUUCCUAGGGAAACUUCUCCAGUACAGAUAGUUGAAGAAACUAUGGAAUGUCUGGACAACAAUGAGAAGCAAAGAGGAAGUGAUGAUACAAGCAACAAAACAAGUCAGCUUUCUUCUCAGGAAGACUAUUUCAGUUUGGCAACCUUUAACAAGAAACCCCCUAUAGAACAGAACAUCUUUGAGUGUAAUGAAGGUGAUAGGAUCCCUAGUCAAAACUUACAUGGUACUACACGGCCCACAACUCACACAGGGAAACUGCUCUAUGCGUGUGUAGAUUGUGGGAAAACUUUUUGCAAUAGAUCAAAACUUAUUAGACACCAGAGAAGUCACACUGGAGAGAGACCUUAUGCAUGUAAAGAAUGUGGAAAGGCCUUUGGUUUCAGAGCAGACCUUGUAAGACAUCAGAGAAUUCACAGUGGUGAAAAACCGUAUAAAUGUUGUGACUGUGGAAAAGCUUUUGGGAGCAACACAGGGCUCAUUAGGCAUAGGAGAAUUCAUACUGGAGAGAAACCUUAUGGUUGUGAUGAAUGUGGGAGAGCCUUCAGCCAAUGUUCUACUCUUAUUCAGCAUAAGAGGAUUCACAGUGGAGAAAAACAUUAUAGUUGUGAUGAAUGUGGGAAAGCCUUCAUCCAGAGCUCUGCCCUUAUUCAGCAUAAGAAGAUUCACAGUGGAGACAAAAGCUAUGAAUGUACUGAAUGUGGUAAGGCUUUUUGGACAAGUUAUGUUCUUAGGGAACAUCAAAGAAUCCACACUGGUGAGAAACCUUAUAAAUGUAAUGAAUGUGGAAAAUCCUUUAAUAGAAGCUCAGCACUCACUGUGCACCAGAGAACUCACUCUGGGGAGAAACCUUAUGAAUGUAAUGAAUGCAGGAAAAUAUUUAGGCAUAGGUCAGGCCUUGUGCAGCAUCAGAGAACACAUACCAGAGUUCAGCUCUAAGGGUCAGUGGUUGUACAAUUGUGAAAUGCAAGGAAUUCACUUUGAAGGUGAGACUCCACAAAAGAUAGAGAAGUUUCCUGAUAGCAGGAUUUUUGUCUUUCCAGCCCAGUUCUGUAAAAAGAGAUCCACACAAAAUGUUUGCAUAUUGAAAGAAGAAUUUUAUCCAAAA
rnacentral:lncRNA from 1 species